GCCGGGCUGGUGGAAUUGGUAGACACAAGGGACUUAAAAUCCCUCGGAUGGUAACAUCCGUGCCAGUUCAAGUCUGGUGCCCGGCAUCA
rnacentral:tRNA from 1 species